rfam:Xiphophorus maculatus strain JP 163 A Contig306.32, whole genome shotgun sequence.
GGGGGCAUAGCUCAGUGGUAGAGCACUUGACAGCAGAUCAAGAGGUCCUCCGGUUCAAAUCUGGAUGUCCCCU